AUAAUGGUGUCUUUAGACACCACUUCAUCUUUGGAAUACUGUUUCUU
rfam:Picea glauca, whole genome shotgun sequence.